rnacentral:rRNA from 1 species
CUUAGCGACAAUAGCGACAUAGAACCACCUGAUCCCAUUCCGAACUCAGAAGUGAAAUGUGUUAGCGCCGAU